rnacentral:rRNA from 1 species
AUUGAACGCUGGCGGCGUGCUUAACACAUGCAAGUCGAUCGGUAACAGGUGUAGCAAUACAUGCUGACGAGAGGCGGACGGGUGAGGAAUAUUUGGGAAUCUGCCCAUCAGCGGGGGACAACCCGGGGAAACCCGGGCUAAUACCGCAUACGCUCUACGGAGGAAAGCCGGGGACCGCAAGGCCUGGCACUGAUGGAUGAGCCCAAAUCGGAUUAUCUAGUUGGCGGGGUAACGGCCCACCAAGGCGACGAUCCGGAGCUGGUCUGAGAGGACGAUCAGCCACACCGGAACUGAGACACGGUCCGGACUCCUACGGGAGGCAGCAGUGGGGAAUACUGGACAAUGGGGGAAACCCUGAUCCAGCGACGCCGCGUGGGUGAAGAAGGCCUGCGGGUUGUAAAGCCCUUUCGGUAGGGACGAAAGCUCUUGCUCUAAUAAUGCAAGAGGUUGACUUAACCUACAUAAGAAGCACCGGCUAACUCUGUGCCAGCCGCCGCAGUAA